rnacentral:rRNA from 1 species
AGGGCACCACCAGGAGUGGAGCCUGCGGCUUAAUUUGACUCAACACGGGAAAACUCACCCGGCCCGGACACUGGAAGGAUUGACAGAUUGAGAGCUCUUUCUUGAUUCAGUGGGUGGUGGUGCAUGGCCGUUCUUAGUUGGUGGAGUGAUUUGUCUGGUUAAUUCCGAUAACGAACGAGACUCUAGCCUACUAAAUAGAUCGUCGGCUUACAAACGCCGGCGAGACUUCUUAGAGGGACAGGCGGUGAUUCAACCGCACGAAACAGAGCAAUAACAGGUCUGUGAUGCCCUUAGAUGUCCGGGGCCGCACGCGCGCUACACUGAAGAGAUCAGCGUGCAUGUGCUUCCUACUCCGAAAGGAGCGGGAAACCGAGUGAACCUUUUUCGUGCUUGGGAUUGGGGAUUGUAAUUAUUCUCCAUGAACGAGGAAUUCCCAGUAAGCACAAGUCAUCAGCUUGUGUUGAUUACGUCCCUGCCCUUUGUACACACCGCCCGUCGCUACUACCGAUUGGAUGUUUU